GAGAAAAAAAAAAAAAAAAAAACAGACGAUGACCACCAUGCACCAGCACAACUGAGGAACAACUAUGAGAACUAUGGCUUGCAAGACUUCAACAAAGCUCAAUAAGCAGAAGACCUCAACUUUCAAACCAAGUGUUGUGAGAAUAGUACCACCACCCACAGAAGCUGCAGAGCUUUGGCAGGAGAAGAGAUUUAUGAUUCCCAAUCCAAAUUGUAAACUAUAUGAAUUUCUCAUUAGCACAACUUCUAAACAUCCACUUGCCGAAAUUCUUCCCAUUUAAUCAGCUGAAGCACAUAAAUUCUGAAACAUGUAGGACAAAAGCCAUCCAUUUUCAUAACCAAUACCAUUGCGUCAAAUCAAUAGCAUCCACUGCCAAUCAGAUGAUGACCCAUUCAUGUAACAGAUGAGAAAAGAAAGAUGGUGAAGAUUGAAGUAUCAAAUAGAGUCUAUCAAAAUAACAAACGCAGUUCCAUACUCCACAAAUCUACCGAUCACCAACUUUAGGCAACAAAGAUUUAACAUCCCCAAUCCCAAUUCAGGAAAUUGACAAAAACUUACAUCAAUGAAAGUGAGAAAAACAGGAUGGAUGAACCAUUUGACAUUCAACCUAAAUGCUCAUUGAAAAAGAGGCAUUGCUCACAGAGAUUAGCACAACCCUAAGAAAAAUGACCAUAAGUGAUGAUGAAAUGAUUCACACCCUUCACCAUAACAAGAAAAUAAUAACCACGAAAUAGAGAUAAGGAAUGGAUCUGAAAAGGUAGCCACAUACUACCCGCUUGACACUGCUGCCAGACAAGAAUCAUAAGUCCUGUCUAGCAAUGAAAAGCACGGUCUAUCAAAUGCAUAAGAGAUAGAUCUCUUUGCACAGCAUUUGUGCAACAUCACUUCAGCAGAUAAAAUUUCUAAUGAAUUUUCAUAAUCUUCUAGCCUGCACAAUGCUUUUAAUGCAUCAAACUUUCUGCAAAUUUCAUACACCAGACACCUUCAAAUGAAAUUACUUCAAUCACAUCUAAUCCAUUACUUUCAAAGCCUACCCACUGACACUAUCCACUUCCAAAGAACCAUAUCCACUAAAAAAGAGACGCAGUCACGAUUCAUCCUAAUUGACAAACAUCACAUUGCAGGCAUUCUACUCUGGAUAACUUGCGCCAAAAUCAUCAAAUAAUUAGUAAGACUCCAAAUAGGUCACUUGUUAACAACCAUUAAUAAUGUGAGUUGCACAAGACUAUGUGAGGUCACAAUAAUAUUAACCAGAAGACCACAUGGCAGAGGUCAUCAUAGUUACCUGCAAGAAGUCAAUUAUAAGGUAUCACAAUUAGAUGGGAAACUGUUUAAGGCACUGUUUCACCCAAUAAUUGUAAAGUCAUAGUUACAAACAUAAAUGAAUAACAUGAAAUUGAAAGACAUAAUACCUUGCUUUGUCUGAAUUUGCCAACCCAUUACGAACAAAAGGCCUACUGCGAAAAGAAGCAACUGCAGCCUUCCUUGCAAACUCAGUUGUUACAGGAAAUUGGUUCCCUUGGAAAUUUGACCUUCUUUGAGCUAAAGCCCCCUGUCGAACAAAUGGUCGUGAAUUCAUAUAGCGCUGCACCUUCACAGAUUUCUGUUGUGCAGCAUUGUUAAAAACUAUCUGACUUUUAUUCGGAGGCCUUUGCUGCUUCUUAACCUUAGUUGUAUUUUUAGACAUUUUGAUGAUGUCAUCUAAAGGCAUAUCAAGUUUCUUUUCUGUAUUAGCAAUUUCCUCACGACUGAGUGGUUUAGUGGCCAU
rnacentral:misc_RNA from 1 species